CGAGAAGCUGGCCCCGGACGCGGUGCGGUUGGGCAGGGCGUUGGGAAGAGGCUCGCGCGCAGCAGUGGCGGCGGAGGCGGUUGCGGUUGCGAGGCCUGCGGGAGUUGAAGAAUGGAUUUGUUGGGGUUGAACAAAUUUAUGGUUCUUCUGUGGAAGAAUUUUACUUUAAAGCGCCGGCAGUGCACUGCUCUGGUUGCGGAGCUCAUCCUGACUGUCCUGUUUGUUGGCGUGCUUCUGUUAACACGCAGGUUUUCGUAUAGAGAGAAGACUGGGCCCUUCAGUUACUCUCCGCAGCCUGUUGAUGAGUUGCCUAUGUUCCUCAGAAAAGUCCCUUCUUCUGGCAUGUGGGAGUUGGCUUUUGUGCCUUCCAAAAGUGUUGUAGUGAAGGAUAUCGUUGAAACUGUGAAAAGAGAUUUACACUACAAUU